GACGAACGCUGGCGGCGUGCUUAACACAUGCAAGUCGAACGGACAGGCGCUGCUUUUGUGGGGUGCUCGAGUGGCGAACGGGUGAGUAACACGUGAGUAACCUGCCCUUGACUUUGGGAUAACUUCAGGAAACUGGGGCUCAUACCGGAUAGGAGCUCCUGCUGCAUGGUGGGGGAUGGAAAGUUUCGGCGUUUGGGGAUGGACUCGCGGGUUAUCAGCUUGUUGGUGGGGUAGUGGCUUACCAAGGCUUUGACGGGUAGCCGGCCUGAGAGGGUGACCGGCCACAUUGGGACUGAGGUACGGCCCAGACGCCUACGGGAGGCAGAAGUGGGGAAUAUGGCACAAUGGGCGGAAGCCUGAUGCAGCAACGCCGCGUGCGGGAUGACGUGCUUCGGGUUGUAAACCGCUUUCGCCUGUGACGAAGCGUGAGUGACGGUAACGGGUAAAGAAGCAACGGCUAACUACGUG
rnacentral:rRNA from 1 species